rnacentral:misc_RNA from 1 species
GUGAAUCAUCGAAUUUUUGAACGCAAAUUGCACUCCCUGGUAUUCCAUGGAGUAUGCCUGUUUGAGGGUCGUUAGUAUAUUAAAUCUAUGCGUCGCGCUUUUUGUUAAGUGUUAUCGCUUCGGAUUUGAGCCGUCUUUCAAAUGUUAGUACAUAGCAAAGUGGCUUGAAAUUGAUCCAUCCUUUACGAUUUAGUCAUAUUUAAGAUCAAUUUUGUUUGAGAACGCU